rnacentral:rRNA from 1 species
GAUGAACGCUGGCGGCGUGCUUAACACAUGCAAGUCGAACGGAAAGGCCCAAGCUUGCUUGGGUACUCGAGUGGCGAACGGGUGAGUAACACGUGGGUGGUCUGCCCUGCACUUCGGGAUAAGCCUUGGAAACUAGGUCUAAUACCGGAUAGGACCACGUUUGGGAUGGUGUGGUGGAGAGUUUUUCGGUGGGGGAUGAGCUCGCGGCCUAUCAGCUUGUUGGUGGGGUAUUGGCCUACCAAGGCGUCGACGGGUGUCCGGCGCGAGAGGGGGUACGGCCACAUUGGGACUGAGAGACGGGCCAGACACCCACGGGAGGCAGCAGUGGGGAAUAUUGCACGAUGGGCGCAAGCCUGAGGCAGCGACGCCGCGUGGGGGAUGACGGCCUUUGGGUUGUAAACUCCUCUCGCUAGGGACGAAGCGUUUUUGUGACGGUACCUGGAGAAGAAGCACCGGCUAACUACGUG